AGAGUUUGAUUAUGGCUCAGAUUGAACGCUGGCGGCAUGCCUUACACAUGCAAGUCGAACGGUAACGGGUUAAGCCGACGAGUGGCGAACGGGUGAGUAAUACAUCGGAACGUGCCCGAUCGUGGGGGAUAACGCAGCGAAAGCUGUGCUAAUACCGCAUACGAUCUACGGAUGAAAGCAGGGGAUCGCAAGACCUUGCGCGGACGGAGCGGCCGAUGGCAGAUUAGGUAGUUGGUGAGGUAAAGGCUCACCAAGCCUUCGAUCUGUAGCUGGUCUGAGAGGACGACCAGCCACACUGGGACUGAGACACGGCCCAGACUCCUACGGGAGGCAGCAGUGGGGAAUUUUGGACAAUGGGCGCAAGCCUGAUCCAGCCAUGCCGCGUGCAGGAUGAAGGCCUUCGGGUUGUAAACUGCUUUUGUACGGAACGAAAAGGUUCUUUCUAAUAAAGAGAGCUCAUGACGGUACCGUAAGAAUAAGCACCGGCUAACUACGUGCCAGCAGCCGCGGUAAUACGUAGGGUGCAAGCGUUAAUCGGAAUUACUGGGCGUAAAGCGUGCGCAGGCGGUUAUGCAAGACAGAUGUGGAAUCCCCGGGCUCAACCUGGGAACUGCAUUUGUGACUGCAUAGCUAGAGUACGGUAGAGGGGGAUGGAAUUCCGCGUGUAGCAGUGAAAUGCGUAGAUAUGCGGAGGAACACCGAUGGCGAAGCAAU
rnacentral:rRNA from 1 species